CCUACGGGUGGCUGCAGUGGGAAUAUUGGACAAUGGGCGAAAGCCUGAUCCAGCCAUGCCGCGUGUGUGAAGAAGGCCUUCGGGUUGUAAAGCACUUUCAGUGGGGAAGAAAGCCUUGGGGCUAAUACCCUCGAGGAAGGACAUCACCCACAGAAGAAGCACCGGCUAACUCCGUGCCAGCAGCCGCGGUAAUACGGAGGGUGCGAGCGUUAAUCGGAAUUACUGGGCGUAAAGCGCGCGUAGGCGGUCUGAUAAGCCGGUUGUGAAAGCCCCGGGCUCAACCUGGGAACGGCAUCCGGAACUGUCAGGCUAGAGUGCAGGAGAGGAAGGUAGAAUUCCCGGUGUAGCGGUGAAAUGCGUAGAGAUCGGGAGGAAUACCAGUGGCGAAGGCGGCCUUCUGGACUGACACUGACGCUGAGGUGCGAAAGCGUGGGUAGCAAACAGGAUUAGAUACCCGAGUAGUC
rnacentral:rRNA from 1 species